rnacentral:rRNA from 1 species
CCUACGGGUGGCUGCAGUGGGGGAUAUUGCACAAUGGGGGAAACCCUGAUGCAGCGACGCCGCGUGUGGGAAGACGGUCUUCUGGAUUGUAAACCACUGUCCCCAGGGACGAAAAUGACGGUACCUGGGGAGGAAGCUCCGGCUAACUAUGUGCCAGCAGCCGCGGUAAUACGUAGGGAGCAAGCGUUGUCCGGAAUUACUGGGUGUAAAGGGAGCGUAGGCGGGGAUGCAAGUUGGGUGUCAAAACUACCGGCUCAACCGAUAGUCGCACUCAAAACUGCAGCUCUUGAGUGAAGUAGAGGCAGGCGGAAUUCCUAGUGUAGCGGUGAAAUGCGUAGAUAUUAGGAGGAACACCAGUGGCGAAGGCGGCCUGCUGGGCUUUUACUGACGCUGAGGCUCGAAAGUGUGGGGAGCAAACAGGAUUAGAUACCCUGGUAGUC